rnacentral:rRNA from 1 species
GGGUGAGUAACGCGUAUGCAACCUGCCCGUUUCAGCGGGAUAACCCGGAGAAAUCCGGCCUAAUACCGCAUGUGGCCGAGGGGAGGCAUCUUCUUUCGGCCAAAGGAGGCGACUCCGGAGACGGAUGGGCAUGCGUGACAUUAGCUUGUUGGCGGGGUAACGGCCCACCAAGGCGACGAUGUCUAGGGGUUCUGAGAGGAAGGUCCCCCACACUGGUACUGAGACACGGACCAGACUCCUACGGGAGGCAGCAGUGAGGAAUGUUGGUCAACGGGCGAGAGCCUGAACCAGCCAAGUCGCGUGAAGGAUGACGGCCCUACGGGUUGUAAACUUCUUUUGUCAGGGAGCAAUUGGGUCCACGUGUGGGCUUAGCGAGAGUACCUGAAGAAAAAGCAUCGGCUAACUCCGUGCCAGCAGCCGCGGUAAUACGGAGGAUGCGAGCGUUAUCCGGAUUUAUUGGGUUUAAAGGGUGCGUAGGCGGAAUAUCAAGUCAGCGGUAAAAAUUCGGGGCUCAACCCCGUCGUGCCGUUGAAACUGAUGUUCUUGAGUGGGCGAGAAGUAUGCGGAAUGCGUGGUGUAGCGGUGAAAUGCAUAGAUAUCACGCAGAACUCCGAUUGCGAAGGCAGCAUACCGGCGCCCAACUGACGCUGAAGCACGAAAGCGUGGGUAUCGAACAGGAUUAGAUACCCUGGUAGUCCACGCAGUAAACGAU